GAGGAGAAGGAGGCGGCGGCGCUGAGGGAAGGCGGGGGGGGCAGCACAGAACAUGGCGCCGCGUCCUACUUGCGGUGCGGCGCUGCCCCGCUCGCCUCACGGAGCCCCCGCGCUCCCCGCGCCGGGCAGCGCAGCGCCGGCCAUGGCGGCUGUGGCGCGGGGCUCUGCGCUCCGUGCCCCCUCCGUGCCGUCCUCCUCCUCUUCCUCCUCCUCCUGCUCGCCCAGGAGUUUUUAAACUUUAAAGCGCAGCUUCCGCCGCCCCGCGCCCGCCUUUGUCCCCCGGACAACACCGCGCUCGGCCCGGCCGCGUCCCGCCGCGCUGCCCCGGGCGCUCCCCGCUGAGCAUCUGGAGAGAGGGAGAGAGAGAGAGAGAGAGAAAGGGCGCGUUCAUGAGGACUACAAAGUUACAAAUAUGGCUCCCCAGUCUCUCUUGCCUGAUCACUGCAAAGAAAUGAAGACGCACUUUAAACUAAACCAUUCGCAACUCACUCGCAGUCCCUGUCUGCCUCUCCCUGCCCAGCACCCUGCACAAAUAUUUGCGAACUAAACACGCCGAGAGAGAGAGGAGCGAGCAACUUAUUUUUAUUUAAUGCACGGCGAGCCCUCUCCGAGGCAUCGCAGCCCGGCACGGGCAGGAGCAGCCCCGGGGACCCCCCCAAACCUCACCGCGAGCGCCCCGCGCCCCCCAAAGCGGGGGGCACGGCCCCCCCACACACACAGGCGCUGCUGGCUGAGGUGGCAGCUGUUGGAUGUAGGAUCCAAGCCCACAGCUGCUCCUCUUCAGGGAUUUGGGAUUUCUGAACCCCGGGCACCGUUCCCAUCAGCUGGAGCAGAACACAGCGCUGGAUGGAGGUGAAGUGUCACCUGUGAGCGUGGAUAAAUCCCAGGAAUGUGGGUGAUGACAGCAGGAAUUGUGUUGGGAAUGGGACAGGAAAAGCUGCAUCCAGCUCCAGGUGCGACCAGAGGUGGCUCCUGGGCUGAAUCUUCAGGAAUUUUUGAUGGAAUUUGUGCUCCUGGCCCGGGAGGAGACCUUUGGAAAAGGACUUUUCUCCUGGAAGAGAAUUUGCUGGGAUAAGCUGUGAUUGAAAAGGAAUUUCUGGGGAUCCAGAGCUGCUUUUUUCCUUUGUUUCUCCUGAGGAAAAUCUGUGUUUCGAGUACUGAAAGGUGCAGAAAAUUCCUGGUUUUUUGAAUGACUGAGGGAAUUUUUUCCGAGUUUAAAGCCCAAACUCCAUGUUUAAAGCUGCUCCUUCCAUGGUUCCUAUUCCAGGAGUUUGGGAAUGAAAAAGGAAAAGGAAUGAUAAAUUGGGAAUAAAUUUUAAAGAAUUUUUUUUUUGCUUUUCUUCUA